GCCUGUGAAGGUGUGUCGUGAGGCAUGCUGGAGGUAUCAGAAGUGCGAAUGCUGACAUAAGUAACGAUAAAGCGGGUGAAAAGCCCGCUCGCCGGAAGACCAAGGGUUCCUGUCCAACGUUAAUCGGGGCAGGGUGAGUCGACCCCUAAGGCGAGGCCGAAAGGCGUAGUCGAUGGGAAACGGGUUAAUAUUCCCGUACUUGGUGUUACUGCGAAGGGGGGACGGAGAAGGCUAUGUUGGCCGGGCGACGGUUGUCCCGGUUUAAGCGUGUAGGUGUGUGUUCCAGGUAAAUCCGGUUCACUUUAACACUGAGGCGUGACGACGAGGCACUACGGUGCUGAAGCAACAAAUGCCCUGCUUCCAGGAAAAGCCUCUAAGCAUCAGGUAACAUCAAAUCGUACCCCAAACCGACACAGGUGGUCAGGUAGAGAAUACCAAGGCGCUUGAGAGAACUCGGGUGAAGGAACUAGGCAAAAUGGUGCCGUAACUUCGGGAGAAGGCACGCUGACACGUAGGUGAAGUGAUUUACUCAUGGAGCUGAAGUCAGUCGAAGAUACCAGCUGGCUGCAACUGUUUAUUAAAAACACAGCACUGUGCAAACACGAAAGUGGACGUAUACGGUGUGACGCCUGCCCGGUGCCGGAAGGUUAAUUGAUGGGGUCAGCGCAAGCGAAGCUCCUGAUCGAAGCCCCGGUAAACGGCGGCCGUAACUAUAACGGUCCUAAGGUAGCGAAAUUCCUUGUCGGGUAAGUUCCGACCUGCACGAAUGGCGUAAUGAUGGCCAGGCUGUCUCCACCCGAGACUCAGUGAAAUUGAACUCGCUGUGAAGAUGCAGUGUACCCGCGGCAAGACGGAAAGACCCCGUGAACCUUUACUAUAGCUUGACACUGAACAUUGAGCCUUGAUGUGUAGGAUAGGUGGGAGGCUUUGAAGUGUGGACGCCAGUCUGCAUGGAGCCGACCUUGAAAUACCACCCUUUAAUGUUUGAUGUUCUAACGUGGACCCGUUACCCGGGUUGCGGACAGUGUCUGGUGGGUAGUUUGACUGGGGCGGUCUCCUCCUAAAGAGUAACGGAGGAGCACGAAGGUUGGCUAAUCCUGGUCGGACAUCAGGAGGUUAGUGCAAUGGCAUAAGCCAGCUUGACUGCGAGCGUGACGGCGCGAGCAGGUGCGAAAGCAGGUCAUAGUGAUCCGGUGGUUCUGAAUGGAAGGGCCAUCGCUCAACGGAUAAAAGGUACUCCGGGGAUAACAGGCUGAUACCGCCCAAGAGUUCAUAUCGACGGCGGUGUUUGGCACCUCGAUGUCGGCUCAUCACAUCCUGGGGCUGAAGUAGGUCCCAAGGGUAUGGCUGUUCGCCAUUUAAAGUGGUACGCGAGCUGGGUUUAGAACGUCGUGAGACAGUUCGGUCCCUAUCUGCCGUGGGCGCUGGAGAACUGAGGGGGGCUGCUCCUAGUACGAGAGGACCGGAGUGGACGCAUCACUGGUGUUCGGGUUGUCAUGCCAAUGGCACUGCCCGGUAGCUAAAUGCGGAAGAGAUAAGUGCUGAAAGCAUCUAAGCACGAAACUUGCCCCGA
rnacentral:rRNA from 1 species